rnacentral:rRNA from 1 species
AACGAACGCUGGCGGCAUGCCUAACACAUGCAAGUCGAACGAGACCUUCGGGUCUAGUGGCGCACGGGUGCGUAACGCGUGGGAACCUGCCCUUAGGUUCGGAAUAACUCCCCGAAAGGGGUGCUAAUACCGGAUAAUGUCUUCGGACCAAAGAUUUAUCGCCUUUGGAUGGGCCCGCGUUGGAUUAGCUAGUUGGUAGGGUAAAAGCCUACCAAGGCGACGAUCCAUAGCUGGUCUGAGAGGAUGAUCAGCCACACUGGGACUGAGACACGGCCCAGACUUCUUCGGGAAGGAAGAAGGGGGGAUAAUGGAACAUUGGCGGAAGGCUGAACCCACAAAGGCGGGGUAGUGAUGGAGGCCUUAAGGUUGUAAAGGCCUUUUACCCGGGAUGAUAAUGACAGUACCGGGAGAAUAAGCUCCGGCUAACUCCGUG